rnacentral:rRNA from 1 species
UACGGGGGGGGCAAGCGUUUGUUCGGAAUUACUGGGCGUAAAGGGCUCGUAGGUUGCCAACUAAGUCAGACGUGAAAUCCCUCAGCUUAACUGGGGAACUGCGUCUGAUACUGGAUGGCUUGAGUUUGGGAGAGGGAUGCGGAAUUCCAGGUGUAGUGGUGAAAUGCGUAGAUAUCGGGAGGAACACCAGUGGCGAAAGCGGCUCUCUGGGCCGUUUACUGACACUGAGGAGCGAAAGCGUGGGUAGCAAACAGG